AGGCUUAACCCACUGAGCCACCCAGGCGCCCCUUUUAUGAAUUUAAAAUGUGUUCGUUGUCAGUUUGGAGCGACUAGAUAAAUAGACUCAAAUGAAAACCUUUCAUGAUCCCAUCAACAGGAGACAGUCACUGUUAAUGUUUUGAUAAACUUCUUGUAGUCAGUUGAUGUAUGUAUAAUUUAGUACAUCUUAUUUAUAUUUCUUUAACAAAGCAAAAUUGGGAGUAUGCUGUUUGAAGCCAUUAGGUUAUAUUACAGGUAUCUUUUGUUAAGGUAGACUGUUUUGUUCCGUGGGGGUAGUUUUUUCAGCUGGCCCCUGAGAACUUAUCUUCCUUUUGUUUUGUUUGUUUUUGGUUUGUUUUUCCCAAUGCGAGGCCUGAAUCCAUGACCCUGAGAUCCAGACCUGAGCCGAGAGCGGGAGUCGGGCACUUACUUAAUCAGCUGAGCCAUCCAAGUGCCCUCCUUUCUUUUGUUUUUAUCCUUAGUUUGCCGUGGUGGCGUUAUUUCUGGACAGGGGACUGAAUGGCGCCAGUAUUGGAAUGAGGCCUUUGCCCACCCUCACCCCCCACUUUUGUUGAGGGGCUGUGACUGCAGGCCUUCGGGGACACCGAGUGGGGCCAGUGGGCUGGAUCUGCCACUUCAUAGUUCCUUCAGAACCUGAUGUUAAGUGGAACUACGCGAUGGUGACGAUUGUCCCUUUGUUCUGGAGACACACGUGAGAGCUGUCACAGAGAGAGCUGCGCGGUAUGCAGGAAGCUGCCAAGUCCGCAGAUCCCGGUCACCCACAGGAAGGCCUGCCCAUGCGGUGUGAGGAAGGAGCUCCCGCAGCCAGGACCCCGCUCCCGGUGUGAGAGGCGCAGCCACGGCCUGGCAGAGUUCGGGGCCAA